rnacentral:other from 1 species
ACUUCCAGAGCCGGAACGAAAAGCAGGUUAGAAAUUCAGGCAGUUAAGUGAGAUUUUGGCAGGCUUUUGGCUGGUGGUCGUGAUGUUGUGUUUGCAAUUGGUCUGACGAUUUUCAGACCGUGGGUGGUUCAGCUACCUUUUAUCAGUCCCGGAUUUAUCCUGUCUGUCCACAAAAUUAACAGCACCGCAGUUGCGGUGCUUUUUUUU